GAGAUUUCCGUAUGGGGGAACACACCUGACACAAGUUGGGUACUCACUCGAUAUAGAGUGUAGAGCGAACGAGUGGAACUGAAACAUAUAAGUACCCUUAUGAAGAGAAAUCAAUUGAGAUUCCCGUAGUAGUGGCGAGCGAAGUGGGAAGAGCCUGGUAUGAUUUAGCUGUAUUUAUAGUAGAACAAGUUGGGAAGCUUGACGAUAGAGGGUGAUAGUCCCGUAUACGA
rnacentral:rRNA from 1 species